UUUUGAGAAGUUGAAAUUUGAGAAAAGGCCUGAAGGAGCUGAGGAGGUGGGUGAGUCAUGAAUGCAUCUCGGGAAGGAGUUCCCCAGGCUGAGGGAGCUGCACCUGAGGAAACCCAGGAGGCAAAGGUGGUCCUGGUCAGGAUGAUGAGGAGGUCCGUGUGGCUGGAGCAGGUGAGCUAGGUGGAGAGAGGCCGUAGAUGAGGGCAGAGCUGCUGCGGGAGCCAAACGUGUAAGGAUCUUUUCGGGCAGUGAGAGGACGUUGGUUUCUCACAGCAGAGAAGGGACAUCAUCUGACAUAUUUUAAAAGUAUCUCUCCGGCUCCCUUGUGGACUGUAAGGGACCAAGAGUUGAAACAGGCACCCAGGAGGAGUCCUUCCAGCAACUGAGAGGACUUGGUCCGAUUCUACCUCCGGAACAAUGCUCAGCCCACAGCCCUCAUUCCCUCCGUGAUGAACAGUAACUGUGGACUUUUGACCUUCCUCUUGAGCUUGGUCUGAGUCUUGGCAUUUACAACCACGGCUCUAGUUGCAACUCACCCAUGCUCAAUGUGGGACAUUUUGUAAGACAACUGGCCUGGACACAUGUAAAAAAGUCACUAUCAUUAAAAUAAAAGCCCCCUAGGUCAUUUAUUUACUCCAGAUGGGAAACGUUUGCUGCGGGAGACUCAAAGGAGACACUGAGUGCAAGGAUUUGGGUGAGGUGUCAGAGUGGGUGGCAUUCCAAACCCUAUUGGGCUGGUGGGCCCCUAACAGGACAGGACUUGGAGUGAAAGGAUGGCGGAUGACUCACGAUUUUACGAGACACUUCCAGGACAAGGAGAAGGCAAAGGAGAGAUGCAGCCUUGGAGAGCCUAAUUCCUCUCUGGAGUGCGUGCUUUUCCCUGAUGUCAAGAUUCUAAAUUAUUCCACUGUUUACCUGCUGCGUGACUUGACAAAAGGGUAAUGUGAUUUAGAAACUCAGCGGUCAUCCAGAAAGUCUAUUUUCAGCCAGGCGGUUACCAGGCAAUGUCAGGGGAUUGGACUCUGCUAUGUUAAAUCCCAAAUUUAAUCCAGGAGCUGAUGUGUCUGUGAAUAUCAGAAAAGCACAACAGCCUUUUGCGUGGGUCGUAUCAAUUCCAUACAGUAUUUUCCUUGCGGAAGUAAGAAUUAACACAUCCAGAAAGCUAGGCUUAGCACCUUUGGAUCUCCUGAUGAAAAUUUCAGCAUAUUGUUAGGAUGUGAGCAUUUAUAUACAUACCCUGCUCUGCCUGCUACACAAGACAGAAAAAUAAAAAAUUACCCUGGAAGAAUAACUUAGAUCUUGGAGAAAAGAAGAAUGCAGGUGGCAAUAUAUAAAGAAUUCCCUGAAGAUACAGUUUGCAGCCUUUUCCUUUGUUUUAAAAAGUCUUUUGUUUUGCUGCAGCAAUAGAAAUAAAAUAUAAACAUAAUUUGAAAGUAAGAGGAGAAGCAGAAAGAUAGUCUUUGUUCAUAGGUUUGUCUGUUUUGGAGACGGUAAUCAUAAUGACAAACCCAAGGACAACUAAUAUUUAUUGAGUGCCUACUGUGUGCCAGGCAUAAUAAGCACUUUAUACCCUUAACUAAUUUAAUCCCUGUGACAAACCUAUUAGGAAGCUGCUAUUAUUAUCCUCAUUUUAAGGGAGCUGAGGCCCAGAGAAAUUAAACAACUUGUGCAAGGUCACAUGGCCAGUAAUUAACAGAGAUAAUAUUCAAACUGUCUCUUGAGGUAAGCUAAAUAAAACUCUAUCCUAUUUUUUGUAGAGCCAUAUAUCUUUAUUCUCUCCUUUCACUAUGGUAAAGUUUGUUCUGGUCCCUCUGUAGGAUUACAAUAUGUUGAAAAUGCGGGUCCCACGUAAUUCUACCAAGUCAGAUCACUAAGUAGCCUUGUCAGGGGAGGGGUUCCCAAUUCGUGACUCUGGACCUUGGGGCAUCAAUGAUUUAUUGUUAUCACUAACAAUAGCUCGCUAUGUGUCAUGUCUUCUGCUACAUAUUUUAUGUUUUAUUUCAGCUUUUAAAAAGAUUUUCAUGAUUCAUGAUUGUUGUAAAGCAGGACUAGGCUGUAUGUACAUAUUUGAAAUGAAAGUUUCACAAAACAUCAUUUACCUUUACUAUGUGUGACACACUUUGCUAUUUUUCAUUUAAUCUAUUUUAUUUAAACAUGCUGACUGUGGCCGAGUGCAGUAGCUCACGCCUGUAAUCCCAGCACUUUGGGAGGCUGAGGCGGGUGCAUCACCUGAGGUCUGAAGUUCGAGAUCAGCCUGGCCAACAUGGUGAAACCCUGUCUCUACUAAAAAUAAAAAAUUAGCCGGGUGUGGUGGCACGCACCUGUAGUCCCAGCUACUUGGGAGGCUGAGGCAGGAGAAUCGCUUGAACCCAGGGGGCAGACUUUGCAGUGAACCAAGAUGGUGCCACUGCACUCCAGCCUGGGAGCCAAGAGCAAAACUCUGUCUCAAAAAAAAAAAAAAAAUGCUGGCUGUGACAUGCUAAUUGAUUUUAUGUCUUCCUAAAUGGUUUAAGAAAACACUUCUUUAGCUCAUUUUGGUUUUCACAAGAAUCUUAUGAAGUCAAUAUGAUUUUAAUACUCAUUUUACAGAUGAGAAAACUGAGUUAAUUUGCUCAGAGUCAUGCAGAGAAACCAAAGUCCAUAGCUUAUACUUUGCAUUGUAUUCCUUUUUCAAAGCAGAUUUAGUUAUGUUAAAGAAACAGCUUUCCAAAUUCUCAUGUACUUAGUGCAUUGCCUGAGGACUGAAUAAAUACAAGAUCUUGCACAUAUGUGUGUAUGGAUACUGUUCUGGAUCUAAAAUAUACAGAUGGUGUUGUGAUUUAUAAAAAUAAAAUAUUCCUAAGUACAUUUAAAUUUACUGUAGGUUUAGUUAUUAUGCAUGUUUUCAAUCAAAUGAUUAAAAAUUACAGCUUCUAAUACACAACAAUCUAAGAAAUUAUUUGAAAUUAGAAUUUCUUUUUUUCCCCAGGAAAUGGAUUGAAAGACAGAGGCCACACUUCAGAAGAAGUAGGCUUAACCAGAGAUUUAUGAGUUACAGUUUUAGUUUCACCAAACUUAGCAUGUGCAUCAAUUAUUAGUAGACAACUACAGCAGUAUUAGAAUAUAGGAAUUUGUCAUCAAUAGAAAUUGCUGAUAUUUUCAUAUCAUCUCACAAUGUUGCUAAUAUUCAAAAAUAUCAUCCAUGCUCAUUAUCACAUCAAAAUUAUGCUAGUUAUCAGAUCCACAUUAGAUAUUAAUAUUUAGUGCAUUGAUAAAAAACCGCUUGCAUUAGUAUAUCACAAAAUUUGUUUUGUAAUAUUUUGAUUGAUAAUUAAAUUUCAAUAUAAUUUUAUGCAUUCAAAUACAUUAUAAAAGAAAAAUAGGAAUAUAAAAAGGAUUCGCUGGCCUCACCAGAUGUCCAAAGUGGGACACGGCUCCAAAAUAGAUGAAGGCUUUAGCUAGAGCAGGGGGAGGGGCUUCAACAUAGCUGAUGGUCUGUGGAUUGCCUCUUUAGAACUGAGUCAUCUUCCUGGCUACCCAACAGCAACAUCAAUUAUUGUGAACCAUCUGGCAAAGGGGCAAAUGGGGUGCCAUUUCUAGGAGAGAUGGAAAUUGAUGAGGCACAGUGAGUUGUUUGGUCCUUUAAGUCUUUCUCUGGUCUCUAGUCUGCCCCUCCUGUUUCAGUGUCACGUCUGUGUUGUCUUAUUCCCCAUGAUGUGCCUCUGCCUCUUGUAUUUACCACACAAACUCAUGCAAGGAACUGAGAAUUAAUCACUGUGUUUUGCUGAAUUUCAGUUAAGAAACGUCAACAUGGCUUAUUGGAUGCUCAUUGUUCCUGGUCUCAACAAGAAACCAACAUGACUGAUUUUUUUCAGAACAGGGUGGCAGAAGCCUACAUUUCUGGACUGAGUCCUGGCAUUAGUCUUCUUAAAUUAUAUUGCCUCACAGAAAUAAAAGGCUGGGGAAUUGACCAGUGGUUUAAAUUAUCUCUAGGCCAGCAUUGUAAAGUGCUGUGAACACUAAAUAAUAAAUAACAGACCUACAUGCUCACAAAAGUCUCUGCUUUGAUGAAGCCUUGUGAUGGUUUUCAUUUGUGGUGUUAAAUUUAGCCAUAAUGUUCUGUACAUUUACAGAAAAACAGAUUAUUGUAUGAUCUAUGAAUUUAAAUGUUUGACAGAGCAGAAUUAUUUUUAUCUUGGGAUCAUAAAAAUACACUAGCUUUAAUUUACCUCUGAAAUUCCUUUGAGAUGGUAUAAACUACAUGCUAUUAUCACAGUUAUCUUUCUUAAAAGCAAACUGAAUUACUCUCUCCUCCUUUACAGUCUUCCAUGUUCCUCUACUGUCGAUAGGUUGGAGUUGAAUGUUUUUAGGAUGGAAUCCAGUGUUCAUGGUCUGGGAUCUGCCUACCUCUUCCACUUCAUGGUUGACCAUUUCCCCACAUGUAUUUCUAUUUUAACCUUACUAAUGGUAUUUUGCAUUUUCCUGCACACAUUUUGACUUCUCCAACUUGCAUGACUCUGCACAGGCUAUUCAAUCUUCCUUCCUGCUUUACUUCCUAGACAACACCUAUUGGUCCUUUGAAACAACUCUCAGGCUUUACGUUCAUUCUGAAGACUUCCUUUAUGUUGACCUCCAUUCACUGCUACCCAUCCAUUUGAACUGCAUCAAGCAUUCCUUCAGGAAGCCUAAGAAUGAGACAUCUCCCCAAUGGCCUGGUGGAUUGUUAAGAAGCUCUGGAGUAGGGAGUUGUUGAACACAUCGGCAUGCCAGUGUUCUAUUACAUGGCCUGGGAUAUUUUUGAGGAUAAUCUUCUUCCUCCUUCAUGGAUUUGGAUCAU
rnacentral:lncRNA from 10 species